rnacentral:rRNA from 1 species
UAGCAUAUCAAUAAGCGGAGGAAAAGAAACCAACAGGGAUUGCCCUAGUAACGGCGAGUGAAGCGGCAACAGCUCAAAUUUGAAAUCUGGCUUCGGCCCGAGUUGUAAUUUGCAGAGGAUGCUUUUGGUGCGGUGCCUUCCGAGUUCCCUGGAACGGGACGCCACAGAGGGUGAGAGCCCCGUAUGGUCGGACGCCAAUCCUGUGUAAAGCUCCUUCGACGAGUCGAGUAGUUUGGGAAUGCUGCUCUAAAUGGGAGGUAAAUCUCUUCUAAAGCUAAAUACCGGCCAGAGACCGAUAGCGCACAAGUAGAGUGAUCGAAAGAUGAAAAGCACCUUGAAAAGGGGGUUAAACAGUACGUGAAAUUGUUGAAAGGGAAGCACUUGUGACCAGACUUGGGCCGGGCGGCUCAUCAGGGGUUCUCCCCUGUGCACUCCGCCCGGUACAGGCCAGCAUCGGUUCUUGCCGGGGGAUAAGAACGGAAGGAACGUGGCCCCCCUUCGGGGGGGUGUUAUAGCCUGCCGUACGAUACCCUGGCGGGGACCGAGGUUCGCGCUUCCGCAAGGAUGCUGGCGUAAUGGUUACUAGUGACCCGUCUUGAAACACGGACCAAGGAGUCGUCCAUUAGAGCGAGCGUUUGGGUGUCAAACCCGCACGCGUAAUGAAAGUGAAAUUAGGUGAGAGCUUCGGCGCAUCAUCGACCGAUCCUGAUGUUCUCGGAAGGAUUUGAGUAAGAGUUUUAACGGACGGACCCGAAAGACAGUGAACUAUGCUUGUAUAGGGUGAAGCCAGAGGAAACUCUGGUGGAGGCUCGCAGCGGUUCUGACGUGCAAAUCGAUCGUCAAAUAUGAGCAUGGGGGCGAAAGACUAAUCGAACUGUCUAGUA